UACGAAGGGUGCAAGCGUUACUCGGAAUUACUGGGCGUAAAGCGUGCGUAGGUGGUUCGUUAAGUCUGUCGUGAAAGCCCCGGGCUCAACCUGGGAAUGGCGAUGGAUACUGGCGGGCUAGAGUGCGGUAGAGGAGAGUGGAAUUCCCGGUGUAGUGGUGAAAUGCGUAGAUAUCGGGAGGAACACCAGUGGCGAAGGCGACUUCCUGGCCUGUUCUUGACGCUGAGGCGCGAAAAGCUAGGGGGACGCAAACGGG
rnacentral:rRNA from 1 species